AACAGGAUUAGAUACCCUGGUAGUCCACGCCGUAAACGAUGUCGACUUGGAGGUUGUGCCCUUGAGGCGUGGCUUCCGGAGCUAACGCGUUAAGUCGACCGCCUGGGGAGUACGGCCGCAAGGUUAAAACUCAAACGAAUUGACGGGGGCCCGCACAAGCGGUGGAGCAUGUGGUUUAAUUCGAUGCAGCGCGAAGAACCUUACCUACUCUUGACAUCCAGAGAACUUAGCAGAGAUGCUUUGGUGCCUUCGGGAACUCUGAGACAGGUGCUGCAUGGCUGUCGUCAGCUCGUGUUGUGAAAUGUUGGGUUAAGUCCCGCAACGAGCGCAACCCUUAUCCUUUGUUGCCAGCGGUUAGGCCGGGAACUCAAAGGAGACUGCCAGUGAUAAACUGGAGGAAGGUGGGGAUGACGUCAAGUCAUCAUGGCCCUUACGAGUAGGGCUACACACGUGCUACAAUGGCGCAUACAAAGAGAAGCGACCUCGCGAGAGCAAGCGGACCUCAUAAAGUGCGUCGUAGUCCGGAUUGGAGUCUGCAACUCGACUCCAUGAAGUCGGAAUCGCUAGUAAUCGUGGAUCAGAAUGCCACGGUGAAUACGUUUCCGGGCCUUGUACACACCGCCCGUCACACCAUGGGAGUGGGUUGCAAAAGAAGUAGGUAGCUUAACCUUCGGGAGGGCGCUUACCACUUUGUGAUUCAUGACUGGGGUGAAGUCGUAACAAGGUAACC
rnacentral:rRNA from 1 species